CGUAUGGGAUUUGUGAAUUUAAUGAAAUUGUAGUGCAGCAGCCGGCUGUAAUUUACUCUUCAGUUUGACUCUGCGGAUCAUAAAUCUACAAAAUGAAAUUAGUCAACUGUGUGCCGGAAACAGAUUUUUAUGAGCAACGAGGCCACCCAUUAAAUUUUACUAGACCAUGGCAAUGAUAAAUCGAAAUGUGAACAGAAAGUCAUUUCGCACAGCAAUGAUGAUGGAAUCACUCUGCCGAUAGAAAAUGACAAGCGUAUGCUAUGCAGGGUGGUUGGAACUGAUCCUACAAAAUGAAAGUUAAUAAUCAUCCAGGGUCACCACUCCUCCCCUUGGUAACAUAUUGAAAUCGCAGACAAUCGAGUGGUAGCAAUUCGUGUGUUCGACCGAACUGGCCUUACGGUUCAGUUUUGUUAUCUAGGACAUAGUCACACUAGGAACGUGAAAUUUAAAACGGUGAAGGCAUUCGUUGCUGGAGCGGCACACUUGAAUGGAAAUUGAAAUGAAACAUUGAUGGGCGAUUGUGAUUAACAAAACAAGCAAAUUAAUGUAAAGAGAAUUUCCUAUUAAAAAGAAUAAAAAAUGAAUU